ACGGAAGGCAGCAGUGGGGAAUAUUGGGCAAUGGGCGAAAGCCUGACCCGGCAACGCCGCGUGAAGGAAGAAGGCCUUCGGGUUGUAAACCUCUUUUAUAGAGGACGGAACAAAUGACGGUACUCUAUGAAUAAGCCACGGCUAACUACGUGCCAGCAGCCGCGGUAAUACGUAGGUGGCGAGCGUUAUCCGGAUUUACUGGGUGUAAAGGGUGUGUAGGCGGGACAGCAAGUCAGAUGUGAAAAUUAUGGGCUUAACUCAUAACUUGCAUUUGAAACUGUAGUUCUUGAGGGUCGGAGAGGUAACCGGAAUUCCUGGUGUAGCGGUGAAAUGCGUAGAUAUCAGGAGGAACACCGGUGGCGAAGGCGGGUUACUGGACGAUUACUGACGCUGAGACACGAAAGCGUGGGGAGCAAACAGGAUUAGAUACCCUGGUA
rnacentral:rRNA from 1 species